CCAGCCACCCCGGUUAUUUGAGAGACCCCAGUUGAUGACUACGGCGUAAAGAGGAGGUUUGGGGCCUAAAAAAAUAAAGCCAAAGACCUCCCAAGCUGUCAAACGCACCCCGGAGACACGAAGCCCUAACACGAAAGUAGCUUUACCCUCUAUUCCCGACGCCACGAAAGCUAAGAGAAAAACUGGGAUUAGAUACCCCACUAUGCUUAGCCCUAAACUUAGAUGGAAACUUACAAAUACCUUCCCCCAGGGUACUACAAAGCGCUAGCUUAAAACCCAAAGGACUUGACGGUGUUUCAAACCCGCCUAGAGGAGCCUGUUCUAGAACCGAUA
rnacentral:rRNA from 1 species